CCUACGGGUGGCAGCAGUGAGGAAUAUUGGUCAAUGGACGAGAGUCUGAACCAGCCAAGUAGCGUGAAGGAUGACUGCCCUAUGGGUUGUAAACUUCUUUUAUAAAGGAAUAAAACGAGGCACGUGUGCCUUUUUGCAUGUACUUUAUGAAUAAGGAUCGGCUAACUCCGUGCCAGCAGCCGCGGUAAUACGGAGGAUGCGAGCGUUAUCCGGAUUUAUUGGGUUUAAAGGGUGCGUAGGCGGUCUUUUAGGUCAGCGGUAAAAAUUCGGGGCUCAACCCCGGCCGGCCGUUGAGACUGGGCGCCUUGAGUGGGCGAGAGGCAGGCGGAAUGCGUGGUGUAGCGGUGAAAUGCAUAGAUAUCACGCAGAACCCCGAUUGCGAAGGCAGCCUUCCGGCGCCCUACUGACGCUGAGGCACGAAAGUGCGGGGAUCGAACAGGAUUAGAUACCCCAGUAGUC
rnacentral:rRNA from 1 species